UCAAAGAGUCCUACUCCCUGAGUCAGAAUCAUAUAUGCGCGCAAUGGCAAAGAGGACAACAACAGCAGCAUGGCUCCGAAGCCCUCGAACUGGUGCGGCGCAAAUCCUGAAGGUGUAGCCUGAGGAAGGACGUAGACAGAUUAUUUGGACUAGGGGAUACCGAGCGGACUUCAAUCAAAUAGUGAAUCAAACAACAUGUAUUCAUCUUCACAGAAAUUAUCUACUAAUUUGGGAAAACUGAUUAUAAAUGCACAUGAGUGAGGAACUCUUGCUCAAUUGAUCUACCAGCUUCAGCAUCCUCCUCUGAUGCCAUCUUCCAUCCUUUAUUCUCCUCUUUAACAGCUGUUACGUCAUCCAUCAUGAGACCCUCAACCUGAAGAAUGCAUCAAGCAAAGUUAUGAGUUUCGUACAUUAGAAAAACUACUAUAAUGAUGGCCUGACUGAAUUAAGUUUAGUGUUUUGACAGCAACCCAUACACAAAGAAUUAAGAAGUUUGUGAUUUAUUUACAAAGUAGCGACAACACGAUUUAUAUUAACCAUAAAUAGGAAGUUUUUAGGUUUCGAUAGGGCACCAUUAAGAAGCAAGCUCGACUGCUCGAGUUUGGCAACAACUAUUAAUAAAUUCAAAAAGCAAAGAAUACUGCAUCACACAAAGUGGUACUAGAACUUAUCAUCCACGUCUGUCAAACCGAAAAUAACAUUACCAAUUACAUAUUCUAGAAACAUUAGACAUAAAUUAUAUGAUGAUACUCAUAUUUAUCAGCCAAACUUCAAAUCCAAAUCAGUAUUCAACAUUGUUGGCUAUUGUGUAGUAGCAUGGUUCAGUUUAGCAGCUUCAGCUCACAGGAAAACUAAAUCUCCUUUUGGCUACUCUGUAGUAGCAUGGUUCAGUUUAGCCAUUUGACCAAAACAACUUUGAAUCAGUAUUGCUCAACCAGUUUGAACGACGUACCUAGAGCACGGGCGGACGUAAUUUUGGCGAAGUCAGCAGUAUGGAGACAUUCCGGCGAGGUUGGCAGAACGGCGA
rnacentral:lncRNA from 1 species